UCGAAUACUUUAAAAAUUCAA
rnacentral:piRNA from 1 species